GCGGCGGUGGAGGGUAGGGGUGGAGAGACAAAAAACUAACCAUGUUGCAUGUUUCAAAGGUGUGCAGUGGCAUAGUGGCAUCUUUCCAUCAUAUGUAUGGGAAUCGGAAAGCCACAACAGCAAAAGAAAAAGAAAAGAAGAAAGAAAAGAAAAGAAGAAAGAAAAGAAGAAAGAAAAGAAAAAGAAGCAAAAAAAGAAAAGAAGCUGAGGUGUAAUUUUCAUGGCUAAAAGUGGGGGGCGGGGGUGGAAUGAAACCUGCAAAUAAAGUUAUUCCUUGUAAGGUCAAUGGGAACUAUGAACCCCAGAGCACUCAGUCUUCAGGGUGUGAAUAAUAUUUUGCAGUUUGUCAAUCCAUUCAUUUUCAUUUUUAAGCCUUUGUUUAUUUUGUCAUUCAUUUAUUAAAAUUAAAUUUGUUUCA